AGUGAACGCUGGCGGUAGGCCUAACACAUGCAAGUCGAACGGCAGCACAGUAAGAGCUUGCUCUUACGGGUGGCGAGUGGCGGACGGGUGAGGAAUACAUCGGAAUCUACUUUUUCGUGGGGGAUAACGUAGGGAAACUUACGCUAAUACCGCAUACGACCUACGGGUGAAAGCAGGGGAUCUUCGGACCUUGCGCGUUUGAAUGAGCCGAUGUCGGAUUAGCUAGUUGGCGGGGUAAAGGCCCACCAAGGCGACGAUCCGUAGCUGGUCUGAGAGGAUGAUGAGCCACACUGGAACUGCGACACGGUCCAGACUCCUACGGGAGGCAGCAGUGGGGAAUAUUGGACAAUGGGCGCAAGCCUGAUCCAGCCAGACCGCGUGGGUGAAGAAGGCCUUCGGGUUGUAAAGCCCUUUUGUUGGGAAAGAAAAGCAGCAGGUUAAUACCCCGCUGUUCUGACGGUACCCAAAGAAUAAGCACCGGCUAACUUCGUG
rnacentral:rRNA from 1 species